rnacentral:rRNA from 1 species
AUUGAACGCUGGCGGCAUGCCUUACACAUGCAAGUCGAACGGCAGCACGGGAGCAAUCCUGGUGGCGAGUGGCGAACGGGUGAGUAAUAUAUCGGAACGUGCCCAGUAGUGGGGGAUAACUGCUCGAAAGAGCAGCUAAUACCGCAUACGACCUGAGGGUGAAAGGGGGGGAUCGCAAGACCUCCCGCUAUUGGAGCGGCCGAUAUCAGAUUAGCUAGUUGGUGGGGUAAAGGCCUACCAAGGCAACGAUCUGUAGUUGGUCUGAGAGGACGACCAGCCGCACUGGGACGGAGACACGGCCCAGACUCCUACGGGAGGCAGCAGUGGGGAAUUUUGGACAAUGGGCGCAAGCCUGAUCCAGCAAUGCCGCGUGCAGGAAGAAGGCCUUCGGGUUGUAAACUGCUUUUGUCAGGGAAGAAAUCCUCUAGGUUAAUACCCUUGGGGGGAUGACGGUACCUGAAGAAUAAGCACCGGCUAACUACGUGCCAGCCGCCGCCGUAAUAC